AUGGCUCAGGACGAACGCUGGCGGCGUGCUUAACACAUGCAAGUCGAGCGGAAAGGCUCCUUCGGGGGUACUCGAGCGGCGAACGGGUGAGUAACACGUGAGUAAUCUGCCCUUGGCUUUGGGAUAACUACCGGAAACGGUGGCUAAUACCGGAUACGACCACUCCUUGCAUGAGGUGGUGGUGGAAAGUUUUUUCGGCCAGGGAUGUGCUCGCGGCCUAUCAGCUUGUUGGUGGGGUAAUGGCCUACCAAGGCUUCGACGGGUAGCCGGCCUGAGAGGGUGACCGGCCACACUGGGACUGAGACACGGCCCAGACUCCUACGGGAGGCAGCAGUGGGGAAUAUUGGACAAUGGGCGGAAGCCUGAUCCAGCAACGCCGCGUGAGGGAUGACGGCCUUCGGGUUGUAAACCUCUUUCAGUACCGACGAAGCGCCGAUGAUGGUGGUGACGGUAGGUACAGAAGAAGCACCGGCCAACUACGUG
rnacentral:rRNA from 1 species